UGAACGCUGGCGGUAUGCUUUACACAUGCAAGUCGUACGGGAGUUUUUAACUCAAGUGGCGGACGGGUGAGUAACACGUAAGAAUUUGCCUUUAGGAGGGGGAUAACAAUUGGAAACGAAUGCUAAUACCCCAUAUGCUUUUGAGUGAAAUGAAUUUAUUCGCCUAGAGAGGAGCUCGCGGCUGAUUAGCUUGUUGGUAGGGUAAAGGCCUACCAAGGCGACGAUCAGUAUCUGGUUUGAGAGGACGAUCAGAAACACUGGAACUGAGACACGGUCCAGACUCCUACGGGAGGCAGCAGUGGGGAAUUUUCCGCAAUGGGCGAAAGCCUGACGGAGCAAUACCGCGUGAGGGAAGACGGCCUAUGGGUUGUAAACCUCUUUUCUCAGGGAGGAACUCAAUGACGUGUACCUGAGGAAUAAGCAUCGGCUAACUCC
rnacentral:rRNA from 1 species